AUGAGGGGGAAACCACAAGGGAGUCAAUGUGGCAGUGAGGUGGUGACGGGAAGCAGGGAAUCUGGAGCUAUCCAGCUGAGUUGGGGAGCAAAAGCAUCGGGCACGAAAAUGCUGAGAAAAGCAACUGCAACGGAGACGACAAUACUUGGCAACUGCCCAUAUUCCCCUCCCCAUCGGUUCUUUGGGUUUCCCACACUCCCUCCACCUCAGCUCUUGACCAACACUCAGGGGUGUGACCCGCCAGCGGGAGGCUGCGGUGAUCUUUGUCUCGGCCGGCUCCCCACGCGAAGGCUCCUCCUCCUCCUCCUCCUCCUCCUCCUCCUCCUCCUCCUCCUCCUCCUCCUCCUCCUCCUCCCCCUCCUCCCCCGCGCUCGCCACCCGCUCACACCCCCGGCGUCUCCAAGGAGCUGGAAGCGCGGCGGCCACCGCCGCCUCCUCGCCCACCUCCCGCGGACUCGCGCCCUUCCUUUCCCCUCCGCCGCCCGCGCCUGCAGCUCCACCCCCGCCGAGGGGGAUCUUUGUGUCUCCGGGGACUUUCAGCCGCUUUCCUCCUGGGCCUCCCCCGGAGACCAAACGGGCAGCAAGCACCAGAGGAGGCUGCGGCUGGAGGCGCCUCCCGCGAAGAAGCCCAUCACAUACCCACAUCCCACCCCACCCCGGAAAUGCCUGGGCGACCCGGGGUUCGCGCUGGACCAGAGGGGAGACAGGCACUCGCGAGCUCCCUACGCCGCGCCUCCCUCUCUUAACUUCCCGGCCGGGCCUGAGCCUCCAGCGCCCCCGAAGCCUCCCGCCCCGGCCCUCGGUCCCAAGCACCCUCCCGCCCUCCUCGGCUCGGGGUCCGCCCGGCAGGAGGAAAAGCCCCGCGAGGUCGCCCGCCACCAACUCACCAGCAAGUGCGGGGGCCGCGUCGCCAAGCGAGGCGCGGAGCGUGAGCUGCUCUGCCGACGCCCGCGGCGACCGGAUGCAGGUCCGGGUCCCAGCGGCUGGCGGACCCGAGGCGCCUCCGAGGCGCAGGCCUCCGCCGCUGCCUUCCGGCUCUCGCCGAGGGUCCGGAGCCUCCGGGAGGGGCCGCGGGUCCCUCACGCGUUGCCAAGCCCCCCGGACAACAUGGCUCCCGGGCCGCCGGGCCGCGCGGGCAGCCCACUAAUCCCCUCGGAGGAGCCUGGGCGGGAGCGAGGCGGGCAGGGAGGUGACGCCCGGCUGAGGCGGCCCGCCCGGACGAGGGUUCCUUCUUCUCUGCGGCCGGACCGUGAGGAGCUCCGGAGACCGCGGGCGGCCGCUUUCGUUCUCUGCGUGUGCGUCGCUUUCUCACUCGGCGGCUGCGGACUGACGCCUCCGCCUGUUCCCCGGAGGAGAGCGAGCGAGCGAGAAAAAAGACUUUUAUUGAAACGAUCCAACCAGCAGCGGCGGAGAAAAGCGACCCGCCGCGGGAGCUUCCCCCACCCCCGCCUGAGCGGCUUGCCGCGGGCAGCGCGACCCCUGCUGGCGGCGGCGGCGGGAGGGGCGGAACCGACGGUCCGGGGGCGGGGCCUAGAGGGCGGGGCGGGGUAUCCCCGGGAAACCCCCCGCCCCGAGGUGGGGGCCUUAGUCUCUCCAGCAGGGCUUCUGAAGCCGUCGGACGGAGGUGAGAGGGGUGAGAAGACCCCGCAGAUGUGCGAUGGUUACGUAGUGACGCAACAACACAGCGCCUGGGGAAGAGAUUACCUGAGCAAUUCAGCCCCUGCAUCUUCCUCCCAUCCACCCCCAACAAAACAAAAACUGUUGCUUAAAUUAUGCAAUUAUGUAAUUAAGAUAUCAAUGCCGCAGUUCUCUACUGGUAUUCUAGAGAGUUGA
ensembl:lncRNA